rnacentral:rRNA from 1 species
CCAUGAAGCUGGAUUCGCUAGUAAUCGCGCAUCAGCCACGGCGCGGUGAAUACGUUCCCGGGCCUUGUACACACCGCCCGUCAAGCCAUGGAAGCCGGGAGUGCCUGAAGUGCGUGAGCGCAAGCAGCGCCCUAAGGUAAAACCGGUGACUGGGGCUAAGUCGUAACAAGGUAGC